rnacentral:tmRNA from 1 species
GGGGGUGUUCCGGAUUUCGACGAUUUGUAUGCUCUUUGAACUGUAUGUCGCAGAUGAUGGUUGGCUGCGUUAUCAAUUCCGUCAAACAAUAACUGCAGAAGAUUAUUCUUACGCGGUAGCGGCUUAAUAUAAGCCGUGCAUCUUGCAAGGAAUUGGCGUUCGUUUUUUGCCGGAUGUAAAAUUUAGGACGCUCGGCGGUAAAACGCAUCGGAUUGCCGCUUAAAAAAACGGUGUAUGGACAUAGUUAAGCAUGUCAAUUUGCGUGAUUAUGUUCAAGAUUAAAAAAUUGACUAAACAUAUAGUAGUUCACUGAAAGUGCUUAUCGGACAGGGGUUCAAUUCCCCUCACCUCCACCA